AAAGCAGACAAUGAUGGUGCAGGCCAAGGAGCCUGUAUGGUGCUCACAGGAGGGCCAUUGUGCUGGGACAUAUAGAAGCAGCUUUUCUUCCUGCUUACAAGAUCUACUCUGUCUUGUUGGAGGGGAAAAUGAGUUGCAGUCAGAUGGCAGCUGAGACUGGAGUCAUCUGAAGACUUGACUGAGCUGGAUGUCCAAGAUGUCAUUCACAAGCCUGGCAGCUGCUGCUGGCUAUUGGGUUGGAGCUUAGCCAGAGCUGUCAACUGAAGCUCCUCUAUGUGGCCUCUGCAUGUGGGUUCUUAGAGAGAGUGCUCCAAUAAUUGAGCCUCGGGAUGGAAUAACUGUGAGAUGUGUUUGUUGCAUUCACAUAUACAGUUCUCAAACAGUAGCUGCCACUUCUAGCUGGGAGAGAAAUGAGAGCUCUGCUCAUGGUGAUCCAGUAUCUCCAGAAUCCAUCACCACUGCUGACCUCCCACUCCAUGUCUCCAAGUGCUCUGCUAUACCUGCCACCAGCAGCUGCCACCUCCAGACUUUGGAAGGUUAUAAUAAAACCUCUGUUCUACGAUCUGCCUUCUGCUUCAACAUCCUCACUCCCCACAAACAAUUC
rnacentral:lncRNA from 1 species